AGGAUGAACGCUAGCGGCAGGCUUAACACAUGCAAGUCGAGGGGUAUAUGGUGCUUGCACUAUAGAGACCGGCGCACGGGUGCGUAACGCGUAUGCAAUCUACCUUGUACAGGGGAAUAGCCCAGGGAAACUUGGAUUAAUGCCCCAUAGUAUUAUGAAAUAGCAUUAUUUUAUAAUUAAAGAUUUAUCGGUACAAGAUGAGCAUGCGUCCCAUUAGCUAGUUGGUAUGGUAACGGCAUACCAAGGCUACGAUGGGUAGGGGCCCUGAGAGGGGGAUCCCCCACACUGGUACUGAGACACGGACCAGACUCCUACGGGAGGCAGCAGUGAGGAAAUAUUGGACAAUGGGCGAAAGCCUGAUCCAGCCWUGCCGCGUGCAGGAAGACUGCCCUAUGGGUUGUAAACUGCUUUUGUACGGGAAGAAAACACCCCCACGUGUGGGGGCUUGACGGUACCGUAAGAAUAAGCAUCGGCUAACUCCGUGCCAGCAGCCGCGGUAAUACGGAGGAUGCAAGCGUUAUCCGGAAUCAUUGGGUUUAAAGGGUCCGUAGGCGGACAAUUAAGUCAGGGGUGAAAGUCUGCAGCUCAACUGUAGGACUGCCCUUGAUACUGGUUGUCUUGAAUCGUUGUGAAGUGGUUAGAAUAAGUAGUGUAGCGGUGAAAUGCAUAGAUAUUACUUAGAAUACCGAUUGCGAAGGCAGAUCACUAACAACGUAUUGACGCUGAGGGACGAAAGCGUGGGGAGCGAACAGGAUUAGAUACCCUGGUAGUCCACGCCGUAAACGAUGGAUACUAGCUGUCCGACCUUCG
rnacentral:rRNA from 1 species